GGCCGUCAUUUUUUAGUGCCACGUUCGCAAAACAGAUUGACAUGGACAUCGUUAAAUGAAGAAAGAAGAGGGGAGCCGUCGUCUCGUUCAUCGACGGCGUGGGCACAUGCUCCGAAGUGAGUCGCCCCCUCAAGUCGCGCGUUGUGCAGCCCGCUGCGAGUCGUCGUCGGCGCCACGGUCCCUUGCGCAUGAGCGGGAUUUUCUCUUGGGGUGGUGGUAAAAUCUUCUGGAGCGCGCCUUCUCUUCCUUCCCCAGAUCCCCCGCAUCAAAAGCCACAGGUUCAACAUCUGCAGCGCGAGCGAGCAACAUGCGGCAAGAGGAGAAGCAGGCGGCGGCGCGUGAGUUGCUUGAUGUGGCGGUAGCGCAGGAGCGGAGGGCUGUUGCGGCACAUGGGCGGAAUGCUCGGCGUUAGCAGGGGAGCUGAAGGGCAAAGCGCGGCAGCGGCGCGGGUGCGGAAGGGCGCAGGGAGCGCGGCGACUGCGGUGGAGCAGAAGGGCGCCACCCGAGCGACAGCCAUCUUCGGUGGUGGAUUUGCCGCAGCUGCUUCACCAACGGGAGCAGCUUCUUCACUGGCACCUUCUUCCCCAAAGCUGAACAUAGCCCACUGUCUCAACUCUCAACCAUCGAUGUUUCCUCAAUCUGCAGAUCCAGCUACCUGAGUGUACACUUUUGCAUGGAAAAGAUCCAGUCUCCAGUCAAUGUCGCUAGGUGAUGAUCCUUCUCUGGGCGGUGAUGAACCAGGCACUCUUGAAGCCACUGAUGAGGCGCAGAAGAACUGGAGGCCACGGAUGAACUCUAGAAUCUGAAGCCAUGGAAGAACUUGAAGAUUUUGAUCCAGCAAAGGUGUGCACAAAUUGAAGAUUUUAUCGCUGAGGACGAUACAUUACAAGCAUUUGGAAGGAAGAUUGGUGAGAAGUUGAAGACCAAGAUCGACACAUUACACAUCAUCUGAACCACCUCGUCGACUACAAAGAUGGCUGCAAAGAUCAAAUUUAUAUUUGAUUACCAUGUCUAUGGAUAGUUAAAUACCUUAAAGACAGCUAAAUAGACGACUCACUGUACAAGAUGUCCCUUUAACUAUCUGUAUGUGACAUGGCAUAGUUUACACACAGCAGCUGUCUAAACUGUUGUACAUGCCCUUAAUUAAUCAGAGAAAGUCAUCAUCCUACGCA